GACGAACGCUGGCGGCGUGCUUAACACAUGCAAGUCGGACGGUUGGCACUGGAAGGUUCGCUGGAAGGUGCUGAUAGUGGCGGACGGGUGAGUAACGCGUGAGGACAUGUCUGCAGGAGGGGGAUAACGUUUGGAAACGGACGCUAAGACCCCGUAAGCCGGGAGGUGAAAGUGGCGAAAGCCAGCCUGUGGAGUGACUCGCGUCCUAUCAGCUAGUUGGCGGGGUAAGGCCCACCAAGGCGAUGACGGGUAGCCGACCUGAGAGGGUGGCCGGCCACACUGGAACUGAGAUACGGUCCAGACUCCUACGGGAGGCAGCAGUGGGGAAUAUUGGGCAAUGGGCGAAAGCCUGACCCAGCGACGCCGCGUGGGUGAUGAAGGCCUUCGGGUUGUAAAACCCUUUCGUGCGGAAAGAACAGCCCUAAAUCUAAUAUAUUCAGGGUUUGACGGUACCGCAAGGAAGAAAGCACCGGUAACUCCGUGCCAGCAGCCGCGGUAAAAGUCAACGUCG
rnacentral:rRNA from 1 species